GACGAACGCUGGCGGCGUGCCUAACACAUGCAAGUCGAGCGGAGUCGAUCGACGGAAGCCUUCGGGCGGAAGAUGGUUGACUUAGCGGCGGAUGGGUGAGUAACGCGUGGGCAACCUGCCUCGAAGACCGGGAUAACAGCCCGAAAGGGCUGCUAAUACCGGAUGUGGUCAAGGAUCCGCAUGGAUUUUUGAUUAAAGGGGAAACCCGUUUCGAGAUGGGCCCGCGUCCUAUCAGCUAGUUGGUGAGGUAAAAGCUCACCAAGGCGACGACGGGUAGCCGGCCUGAGAGGGUGACCGGCCACACUGGAACUGAGACACGGUCCAGACUCCUACGGGGGGCAGCAGUGGGGAAUCUUCCACAAUGGGCGAAAGCCUGAUGGAGCGACGCCGCGUGAGCGAAGAAGGCCUUCGGUUGUAAGCUCUGUCUGAGGGACGAAGGAAGUGACGGUACCUCCGGAGGAAGCACGGCGUACUACGUG
rnacentral:rRNA from 1 species